GAUGAACGCUGGCGGCGUGCUUAACACAUGCAAGUCGAACGAAGAAGAGUUGAAUGAGAGCUUCGGCAGGAUUUCUUCUCAUCUUAGUGGCGGACGGGUGAGUAACGUGUGGGCAACCUGCCCUAUACUGGGGAAUAAUCACUGGAAACGGUGACUAAUACCGCAUGUCAUCACCGAGGGGCAUCCCUUGGUGAAAAAAGGAUUUAUUCGGUAUAGGAUGGGCCCGCAUCUGAUUAGCUAGUUGGUGAGAUAACAGCCCACCAAGGCGACGAUCAGUAGCCGACCUGAGAGGGUGAUCGGCCACAUUGGGACUGAGACACGGCCCAA
rnacentral:rRNA from 1 species